rnacentral:misc_RNA from 1 species
UCCGCAUUACUGCGGCAGUUUGUUUAGAGUGAUACAACUAAACAUAAGGGUUGCGCUCGUUGACGGACUUAACCGUACGCUUCACAGUACGAGCUGACAACAGCCAUGCAACACCUGUGCACUACCCUCGAAGGAGUCCGGCUUUCACCGGAUUUGCAAGUGCAUGUCAAGCCUGGGUAAGGUUCUUGGGUUAGCAGCCAAUUGAAGAGCAUGUUCCACCGCUUGUGCGGGACCCCGCCAAUUCCUUUGAGUUUUAGCCUUGCGGCCGUACUUCCCAGGCGGCCUGCUUAACGUGUUAACUUCGACACUCAUAAUAAAACAAGUAUCUAGCAGGCAUGGUUUAGGGCGUGGGCUA